GAUGAACGCUGGCGGCGUGCCUAAUACAUGCAAGUCGAGCGAACGGACGAGAAGCUUGCUUCUCUGAUGUUAGCGGCGGACGGGAGAGUAACACGUGGAUAAACUACCUAUAAGACUGGGAUAACUUCGGGAAACCGGAGCUAAUACCGGAUAAUAUUUUGAACCGCAUGGUUCAAAAGUGAAAGACGGUCUUGCUGUCACUUAUAGAUGGAUCCGCGCUGCAUUAGCUAGUUGGUAAGGUAACGGCUUACCAAGGCAACGAUGCAUAGCCGACCUGAGAGAGUGGUCGGCCACACUGGAACUGAGACACGGUCCAGACUCCUACGGGAGGCAGCAGUAGGGAAUCUUCCGCAAUGGGCGAAAGCCUGACGGAGCAACGCCGCGUGAGUGAUGAAGGUCUUCGGAUCGUAAAACUCUGUUAUUAGGGAAGAACAUAUGUGUAAGUAACUGUGCACAUCUUGACGGUACCUAGUCAGAAAGCCACGGCUAACUACGUG
rnacentral:rRNA from 1 species